CGCAGCCGCGGUAAUUCCAGCUCCAAUAGCGUAUAUUAAAGUUGUUGCAGUUAAAAAGCUCGUAGUUGAAUUUCGGGAUCAGUAGGUCGGUCAUGCCUCAGGUAUGUACUGGUCUCACUGGUUCCUCCUUCCUGAUGAACCGUGAUGCCAUUAAUUUGGUGUUGCGGGGAAACUGGACUGUUACUUUGAAAAAUUAGAGUGUUUAAAGCAGGCUAACGCUUGAAUACAUUAGCAUGGAAUAAUGAAAUAGGACGUUCGAUCCUAUUUUGUUGGUUUCUAGGAUUGACGUAAUGAUUAAUAGGGAUAGUUGGGGGCAUUAGUAUUCAAUUGUCAGAGGUGAAAUUCUUGGAUUUAUUGAAGACUAACUACUGCGAAAGCAUUUGCCAAGGAUGUUUUCAUUAAUCAAGAACGAAAGUUAGGGAUCGAAGACGAUCAGAUACCGUCGUAGUC
rnacentral:rRNA from 1 species